CCCAAGUGGAUAAGGAUAGAGUCCCAUGAGAUGAGAACUCUAUGCCUUGAUCGACUCAAACUGUUGGGCACCAAUCUCACUGUGUUUAUCCAGUGUUGGCACCAACAAUAGGAAGGUUUGGUGGGGUUCUUAUCUGAUAUAAUCAGAUGACAUCACUCCACCAAUUAAAAUUUUUUCAAAAUUAAUUAAAAUUUUCUAAUUGGUCGAAUGAUGUGGCACUACAUGGCGUAGUAGGGUCUAUUUAAACCCUGUCUGCGCCUAGGAUUUAGAAAAUCUACUCAAUACCCAGCAAAAAUGUGAAACCCCUCCACUUCUCUAGACCCCCUCUUCUCCUCUCUCUCCCCUCUUCACGUCCAAGAGGUUGGGCAUACAUCUGGUGCUUGUCCAAGGUGUGGUGGCUCCCUGAUUAGAAGGGUGCAGAGAUUUGUCGAGAAGCUGCUACUUCAGCUUCAGAAGAUCUUUUGAAGAUCUUGUAGAUCAGAUCUAGAUCUGAUUUUUGGAGAAAAAAUUUGUGAGGAGAAUAUGAUCCAGAUCCUGAUU
rnacentral:lncRNA from 1 species